CUUCGAAUAAAAUAUACGGAAAAUAAUAGUCGUUUGGAUUUUUAUUUAUCCAAUUUGCCUAUUUCAAAAUACUUAAAUUCUUACACCCAAAAAUAUUGGCCUAGGAUAAAAAAUAAUUUCGGAAAUUAAAGUAAAUUUUCUUGGCAGAAACUAUGGCUAAAAAAUUCGUUAUCUUUCUCGAGUGUUUUUAUUUUCUUUGGAACGCUUACCGAAAAAACUUGGUGUACCAUCGAACCCAAAUAUUUGGACCGUUCGAAUUAUUCCGUAGAUUUCCAUUGUAUUUCGUUUUUCCAACCAACGCCGAAAGUCGAGCCACGGCCUUUUCGCCCGUAGCUCGGUGGUCAUCGAAAUCCAGGAAGGACAAAAAUGGCGGAGAGUAAGCGGAUCACGCUAGUUGACGGUACUUAUAUCCACAGCUUUAGAAUAGUCUGGCCCUCGCCUUCUCUUUCUUUGUUUAGUGUGUACUGUUAACCGAAAAUGGGCGACGAACGCGUGUUGAGUCAACCGAGCUAUCAGCUACAGUAGAUAUCGUCGAUAUACAGUGUAUGUAUAUAUGUGCCUCGGAGGAGUGUGACACUAUGUCCAAC
rnacentral:lncRNA from 1 species